UAGCCGUAAACGAUACUCGCUAGGUGUCGGCCACGGUGCGACCGUUGUCGGUGCCGUAGGGAAGCCGUGAAGCGAGCCACCUGGGAAGUACGGCCGCAAGGCUGAAACUUAAAGGAAUUGGCGGGGGAGCACAACAACGGGUGGAGCUUGCGGUUUAAUUGGAUUCAACGCCCGGAAAUCUUACCGGGACCGACAGCAACAUGAAGGCCAGGCUGAAGACUUUGCCGGAUUAGCUGAGAGGAGGUGCAUGGCGUAGUCGUGU
rnacentral:rRNA from 1 species